UUUUCGGAGGCGAACGAAGCACACAGAUGUUGAUCAUAAGUUAUUGGUGACGCCAAGUUACCCCUGACCUCUGAACCUCUGCACGUGAGCCAGAGCCAAUCAGUUGCUAAUGACCGCUAUCCGCGCUCACUCGUCUCGGAUGGUCUGAUGGGAGACGCGAGUAAAUUGCCGUAAUCUCAGAACAAACACAUUCCCUGUUAAACAAAUUGCGAUUUGGUAGCUUUGUGUUAAGCAAAUGUUUUUUUAAAUGAACGUGAAAGCGCCGUGGGCUGCCUGUACGCGCGAGCGUCACGCAUUUCCCCAGUCAAGCUGUUUCCGUUGAUGAGUUUUUAAAAAACGCAGUAAUGUUUGGAACCGACAUUACAAAUUCUUCACAAACGUGAGGUUCGUUUGGUCUUUUGAAAAUUUUCACUCCACGCGGGACAUUAGGACAGAUGUUUUUUCGGGGGCAACUUGAGCCCGACCAUCUGCCGCUGUAAGAGCUUCACCUGGAGCCCGAGGACGCUCGCGCCGCUUGGCUGUGAGUAAAGAUCUGCGGAUUCCUCCCGCGUCUCAGACUCCAGAACCCGCCUCUGCAACGCGUCCAUCCAUCCGCAGUUCGGAGACGCCGGUGAAAGUUUGGCAAUGAGCAGAGGGAGGGGUCAAAGGACAGCUGGGGGGUCAGCGGGAUGGCCGGCCCGGGUCGCCCUGUCCCCCCCCACCCCCCGCACCCCCCCCCCCCAACAGGGGGCGGCGCCUCAGUGGAGCUUAAUUCUGUUCCCUGCUGUGACCAUGCUGGAGUAACCGUGGAAACCACAGGGUCCAAUCAGGGACCUGUGACCUUCAGCUUGUUGCUCCUGACCCAGAAUGCAUUGCUGAAUGUGGAGCCCUGGCCACUGCUCUGAGGACCAGCCUGUGGAGUUCCUGUUGGAGCCUGCAUCCUGAGCAGGAUCAGAAAUCAUAUUUACGAUUACAUUUAUGAAUGCAUAGGAAUAUAAAACAACAGAAGGAAGAUAAAACACAGUAGCAGAGCCUUGGGACUCCGGAGGCUCAGGUACAGGUGGUCAGCAGAAAGAAAAAAUCCACGUCUUUUAAAAGUCCAAAUGACCACUCAAAUUGGAUAGUGCAUCAUUUCCUGUCAUACUGAAGAAAAUAUGGAGGACAGCUCUAAUUCAUCAUAUUGGUGAUUUAAUACCAAAGAAAUAUAUUAAAAUAAUAAAAAGAAUGCUGAAAUGCCCCGAAUUUGUGGUGAUAAAUAGCCCUCUCUGUCUUUAUCUGAUUACUGGAGCUAACAAAUAUAUUGCGGCUAGGAUUUGUGCCGACACGCGCGAUUGUUUUCCAAUAAGAAGUUGCAUAUUAAAUUCCGACACAGAGAGAGGCAGAUAGCCCUACUGCACACCUCAGAGAGAGAGAGAGAGAGAGGGAACGAGGGAACGAGGGGACAGGGGAGACGAACAAGAGAGGGUCGUCAUUAGGACAUCAGAGUCACAGAAACACCUUGCUAUUUUACACUAAACCUCCUACACACACACACUGUCCCUGUUAUUCACUCACAUACACUGAUACAUACACAUUCUCACACAAACACACACACACUCUCAGACAAAUUAACACUCUCCCUCUCUCGUGCACACACAGGUUUAUGUGGUUAGAGCAAUCACUCACUCACACACACACACACACACACGCACGGUGCACACACACACACACACACACAAACCCGCUCACACACAAACAUUGUCAGGACUUUGUAGUGUCUGUGAGUCUCUCUGCAGUGUUUUCUCUCUCUAAUUGUUCUCAAACUCAUCAGGAAGGUUUUACUUGUAAUUAAUUAACACAUUUUCUUAUGCAAAUGUAAGCAAUUAAGUCAUAUUAUCUUAAUAAUUGUUUACUAAACAGAACACUCUCGUAACCAUGUAAGAGUGUAAUAUAUCUAAAGGAAAUUAUGUUCUGCUAAUUAAGCUCAUUAGUCUAAAAUGGUAAUUAACACACUGUAAUUAGGAGUGGAAUAUUUAUUUCAGCAGUGUUGAGUGUCUGGGAUUGGGGUCGCUGGCAGACAGACAGACAGACAGACAGAAAGAAAAACAGAGCGGCAGACAGACAGACAAACAGAUAUAAAGAAAAACAGACAGGUAGAUAGUCAGGUAGACAGACAGGCGUAAAGAAAAAACAGGCAGACAGGUAGACAGACAGACCGACAGGAAGACAUACAGACCGAUAUAAAGAAAAACAGACAGGUAGAGAGACAGGCAGGCAGUCAGACAGACAGACAGGUAGUCAGACAGGCAGGCAGGCAGGCAGGCAGGCAGACAGACAGGUGCACAGACAUUUUUUUAAUGAAUGACCAGCACAGCACUCUCAUGAGUCCACUUUAGUCCUCAUAAUCUACUGCCCCCAACAUACACACACACACAUGCAUACACGUACACACUCACUGACACAGACACUUACGCGCACAGGCACAUACACACUCACACACACACAUACACACACACAUACAUGCACGCACACACAGUACUUUAUCAACUAAAGUAAAUUGGGUAAAACUUCUCACAUGUGGAAUCAUUCAGUUCAUUCUGAAGGGCUGGAUGAGAGAUGGCGUGAGAGAGGUAAUGAGACUCUUUUUCUCUCUCUCUGUCUCUCUUUCUCUUUCUCUCUUGCUCUAUCUUUCUCUCUUUCAUCCACCCUGUUCUCUCAAUUCAAUUUAGUUUUGAUUCAAGUAACUUUAUUGCUGUGACAGAAACCUUUAUGUUGUGAAGCCACUUCAAUUCAGUUUAGCCCAGCGCAGUGUGCCUGUGCAGUGUGCCUAUGCUAGGGGUCUGCCUAUGCCAGGGGUCAUACCCAGUGCAGUGUGCCUGUGCUAGGGGUCAUACCCAGUUCAGUGUGCCUGUGCUAGGGGUCAUACCCAGCGCUGUGUGCCUGUGCUAUGGGUCAUACCCAGUUCAGUGUGCCUGUGCUAGGGGUCAUACCCAGCGCAGUGUGCCUGUGCUUGGGGUCUGCCUCCUCAUACAAAGCACAGUGUGCCUGUGCUAGCGCAGUUUGCCUGUGCUUGGGGUCUGCCUCCUCAUACAAAGUGCAGUGUGCCUGUGCUAGGGGUCAUACCCAGUUCAGUGUGCCUGUGGUAGGGGUCAUACCCAGCGCAGUGUGCCUGUGCUUGGGGUCUGCCUCCUCAUACAAAGUGCAGUGUGCCUGUGCUAGCGCAGUUUGCCUGUGCUUGGGGUCUGCCUCCUCAUACAUAAAGCAUGUAUAGCAUAAUCAUAUGCAGCAAUAGCACUCUAACAAACAUGCUACCUGACCACACAAAGACAUGAAGUAAAGUCAUCAAACCUGUUUGUGUGUGUGUGUGUGCGCGCGUAUGCAUGUGUGUGUGCGUGUGUGCAUGUGUGUAUGAGUGUGUGUAGCAGUGUGUAUGCGUGUGUAGCAGUGUGUGUGUGUAUAGGUGUGUGUACCAGUGUGUAUGUGUUUGUAGCAGUGUGUGUGCGCGCAUGAGAGUGUGUGUAGCAGUGUGUGUGUGUGUGUGCAUGGCAGUGUGUGCCUGUGUGCAUGAGAGUGUGUGUAGCAGAGUGUGUGUGUGUGUAUGAGUGUGUGUAGCAGUGUGUGUGUGUGUGCAUGAGAGUGUGUGUAGCAGAGUGUGUGUGUGCUGUAUGGGGUUAUUACUCCAUGGAUUAGCCUGGGGGAAUGUGUGUGUGUGUGUGUGUGUGUAUGCUGUAUGGGGUUAUUACUCCAUGGAUUAGCCUGGGGGAAUGUGUGUGUGUGUGUGUGUGUAUGCUGUAUGGGGUUAUUACUCCAUGGAUUAGCCUGGGGGAAUGUGUGUGUAUAAAUGAUUAGAGAAAAAGUUGAAGGAGAAAGAGAACCGAUAACUCAUCCUUUAUAUAAAAUAAUGAGAAAAGUUCCUGUGGGAGUGUGAGUGUGUGUGCAUGCGUGUGUGUGUGUGCGCAUGCAUGUGUUUGUGUGUGCAUGCAUGUGUUUGUGUGUGCAUGCAUGUGUUUGUGUGGUGUGUGUUUGUGUGUGUGUGUGAGUGAGAGAGAGCAUGUGUAUGUGUUUGUGUGUGUGUGUCUGUGUGUGAGAGCAUGUGUAUGUGUUUGUGUGUGUGUGUCUGUGUGUGAGAGCAUGUGUAUGUGAUUAUGUGUGUGUAUGAGGGUAUGUGUAAGUAUUUGCAUAUAAAGGCAUGCAUGUGUGUAUUUGUGAGCAUGUGUGUGUGUUUAAGUGUGCAUGACCAAGUGUG